CCUUACCCCUACUCCAGUAGACUCCCCUUGGUGGGUUGUACAAGAAGGAUGGUUAUGGAGCACAAGUCCAACAAGAAGCUCGUGUUCUUAGUGGGCCACAAGAAAGCCUCCUUAUUCUGCACCUGAUUAACAAAGAAGCCUUAGUGCAGGAGUGAGAUACUCGGCAGGAGAGGCUUCUCUCACACCAACACACUGAAGGCGAUGAGAAAAUAGCCCCUGUUAGUUCAAGGACACCAGGUGCCUGAGUAUCUGGAGACAAAAUGGACCAAAAGUUUCAAAAGUUCAGAGGAGCCAUCAGAGAUCUAGCAACUAAAGUCAGUAGUGGAGUACCCAGCUGAUAGCAGCAGUAGCUGAGUCUGGUGAAGAUCAAGCUUGAGAAAUGAUCUGGUGAACUCUGCCCACUAGUGAAGUGAUCUAGCAACUGAGAUACGGGUGUGCAAUUGAGGGAGUGACUCAUCCAACUGUGAUAUCAUACCUAGAAGUGAACUUUAUGGGGACUCUGAGCAGAAAAAAAAAACCAAACCUACCAGAAAGUCCUCCUAGCCACAUGUGAUCCUUACAUGGUGCUUCUGUGCCUUUGUCAUUCAAGUUUGAGCCCACUCUCACCAGGAAUCUUGGGUGUAUAUGGGGUGUGGGGAGAGUUCCCCUCCCAGUUUGGGGGGCUGUUUCUGUAAAAACUGCCCUUGCAAUAACUGCAGAAUAAAUAUCCCCUUAUAAAAGCUCAUUAACUUUGGCCAACUGAUAUCAAUUAGUCAAUAUUGGUGGGAACAUACUGUAUAGGGACUUGAAUGAUAAAAUUAGAAAACCCCAGCCCUUCAGAGCAACCCCUGGAAUCCUGAGGGAAGCAGUAGCCAGUUGCCCUCUGGGGACCAACUUACUAGUGCUAGUGUGGCACUGGAGAGUGAGCUCAGGGGGAGUCAUGAGACAUUAAAUAUAAUUUUUUUGUGAUAUGAAGAGAAAAAUAAAAAAAAAACCUG